AUGAGCCUAGAACAUAAAUGCAAUGCCUAAUGACAAACUGUGCGUUCUGUGUGUUCUAGGCUCAUCUGCUCGCCCGCCUGUAUAGUAUUCAUCAUCAAUAAGUUGUAUAUUGAUUUUGGCCUUGUUUUACCCUCCAGGUGGGUGUUCCUAUGAAAACUAGCAAUGAAGGCAAUAUCAACACCAUACAACAGGCCCUGCUCUCCUCACCAAGAACAACACCCGAGCCAUCAUGGGGUUUUGACACCUUGCCAAGAGCUGGAUUUUUUUGGCAAGUAUAUAUAGAUACACAGAUUUACACAAUACAUUAUAUAUCAAAAAUGGUCAUAAUUUACUAAUACUGUAUGUCAUUGAUCC